rnacentral:rRNA from 1 species
GCGAACGCUGGCGGCAGGCCUAACACAUGCACGUCGAACGGAUCCUUCGGGAUUAGUGGCGGACGGGUGAGUCACACGUGGGAACGUGCCCUUUGGUUCGGAACAACUCAGGGAAACUUGAGCUAAUACCGGAUGUGCCCUUCGGGGGAAAGAUUUAUCGCCAUUGGAGCGGCCCGCGUCUGAUUAGCUAGUUGGUGAGGUAACGGCCCACCAAGGCGACGAUCAGUAGCUGGUCUGAGAGGAUGAUCAGCCACACUGGGACUGAGACACGGCCCAGACUCCUACGGGAGGCAGCAGUGGGGAAUCUUGCGCAAUGGGCGAAAGCCUGACGCAGCCAUGCCGCGUGAAUGAUGAAGGUCUUAGGAUUGUAAAAUUCUUUCAGCGGGGACGAUAAUGACGGUACCCGCAGAAGAAGCUCCGGCUAACUUCGUG